rnacentral:rRNA from 1 species
GACGGAGGGCGCGAGCGUUGUUCGGAAUUACUGGGCGUAAAGCGCGCGCAGGCGGGCGUGUAAGUCGGGGGUGAAAUUUCAGGGCUCAACCCUGGAACUGCUUCCGAUACUGCACGUCUAGGGACCGGUAGAGGUCGGUGGAAUUCCCGGUGUAGCGGUGGAAUGCGUAGAGAUCGGGAGGAACACCAGUGGCGAAGGCGGAACUCUGGGCCGGAACUGACGCUGAGGAGCGAAAGCGUGGGGAGCGAACAGG